rnacentral:rRNA from 1 species
UACCCGCAGCACAAGUGGUGGUCAUUAUUAUUGGGCCUAAAGCGUCCGUAGCUGGCUUGUUAGAUGCCUGGGUAAAUCGAUGCGCUCAACGUAUCGAAUUCCGGGUAGACCGGCAAGCUCGAGGCCGGGAGAGGUGUAGGCUACUCGAGGGGUAGGGGUAAAAUCCUGUAAUCCUUCGGGGAGGACCAGUGGCGAAGGCGCUACACUAGAACGGCUCUGACAGUGAGGGACGAAGCCCUGGGGCGCAAACCGG